GAGAUCAUCCAGAAUCCAUUCUUUGAGUUGGCCAAUAGCAAUAGUACAACAAUGAUAUAAUAAGUAGUACAUCUAAAAUUUCCUAGUACAUACAUGUACUGCAAACUUGCAAAGUACAAACUAAUCCCCCUUUAUGCGAUUACAUAUAGAAUCAAACGGGAUCAUACAUUCAUUCAUUCAACAUAAUGCAUUUUAUGCAAAAUUUAACAACCCAAAUUUUACAAGAGUUUGAGAAGCUGCUGAAUACUAAGGGUGUUGACAAGCACGAGGUAAGGUAAUGUAAUUUAGAUGUAAAAAAGUUUGGGACUGGGAUUAAUAGUUAAUGACAGGACAAAGACAGGGAACAUGCAGAGCAUGGAUGAAACUAUCGACAGUGAAGGAAACUGUUGUGGCUCCACUCAUGCACUGCCUCUUCCCUGGCUUAUAAUCUGUUUUUAUUAUUCCUUGGUUCCUAUCAUCUUUUAUUUGUUGAUUUAUUUAUUAUCUAGUAUGAUCUAUAUUAAAACGUGUUUAAUUAAUGUAUUCAACUUAGUGUAUAUUUCGUACCACAGUGGGUUGUAAGAAUCACGAUGAUUCAUCUUAAACAACUUGAUUUUACAGAAAGCUACAAAGUGUAGCUUUUGGAAAAUCAAGGUGGACCAACGUGAUUCUGGAAAUAUCCAUCGUUCUACCAAACAUAUGCUUCCACAUUGUAAGAUGCCUUAUCAUUGGGAUAUGCUAUUUAAUUGACGUCUUUAGACCUUGUCACCAUAUUCAUUCAGACAAAUAUAUGAUGAUAUUAGUGAUGGUAAAUAUCAAAUAUUACACGUGGGAGAAGGUUUGAAAUAAUUAGAGUGAAAAUCACUUGACAUGGAAUAAUUUCCCUUUGCUUGCAAAAUAAUUUCUUUAAAUUUAGCUAGCAACUGCUGAUAUAUGUCUGGUCCUGUUUUUGAUUCCUUAAAAAAGGCUAUGAUCCCAUAUAAUUGUGGAACAAACUAUUCUAAAUUACGGAUGCAAUUACGAAAUUUUAUGUUAUGGUAAAAUGCAGACAAAAGUGGUCGUUGCAGACAAAAUUGCCGUUGUGAUACCCUUAUGGAGAUCUCUAAGCUUAAUUUACAGCUUAUAGCAUAAGCGCUUAUCAUGAUAAUAAACUUGUAUAAGCUAUUUCUAUAACAAAAGAUAACAUAAAGUUAAAUUAUUUUUGUAUAAGCUAUAAGUUGUUUACAUAAACUAUUGAGAAGAGUUUAUGAAAAAUAAGCUCAAAACAACUUAUGAAUAUGUUAUAAGUUGUUUUCAUAAGUUAGUCCAAACAGUCUCACAAGUACAUAAACUGUUUUCAUAAGUUAGUCCAAACAGUAUCACAUGUGUUCAUGUCAGUAUAUAAACUCAAAUAUGUUGAUUCAAAUAGGCCCUAAAACAGUUAUAUUACAGUUGCAAUUACAUUUGCAGACAAUAAUUUAGAACUAUUUGCAAUUACAUUUACAGUUGUCAAUUGUCAUUUCAUUAUAUCGUCUCGUACAUUUUUAUAAUAGGGUAGAGUGGACAUUGAAUCAGGUUUAUUAUGCAACUUCUUGUACUGUAUGUAUGCUUAAGCCAAUUUAUCAUCCUGUUUUGGAUUGAAAUCAAUAAUAGUCAUUACAUUGGUUGAUGAUAUAAACAAGUUUGAAAUUUGAAAAGAUUUGGAUGUUACUGCUUACCAAACACAUUUUGCACAUUAAGUGUAUGUUUGGUAUAAUUUAUAAUUAUUAUAUAAGAUAAAAAUACUAAAUCAAGAGCAUUAAAGAAUAAAUAACAGCACAUGAAUGAGAGAGUUUAUAAGAAUAAAUUACUAUUAUUUUGUUGCAAAAAAAAAGAAGGGACUUACAUGGUGUUACCAAUAGUAUUAUUUAUCAGACAAGCAUAAGGACUCAGUAAGGUCAACAAUAACACAUGUAUUAUCUUCUCCCAAUUUAUGAUCAAAUUUUCCAGAUUCUAUAAGCUCCAAAUCCUCCAAAAGUAUCACAUAAUGCUUUUGAACCUCCCCUGCACUUUUUUCACCUCCAACCAUAGCUGCAACCAUCUCCCACCUUUCUGGAUGACUCUCAUCUACUAAAGCUAAAGCUAGCUCAAACAAUUUGUUCUCCUUCCAACUCCACCCACAUAACCCCUUUAGAAUAUCAUCCAUGUCACACCCUCACAAUCCUUAGAGGAUGGUAACUCUUUGAGAUGAUUGAUGACAAUUGAGUUACAAAUUAACAAUACUAACAUCGACCGUUUCAAAAAAAAAAUGUUACAUUACAUUAUGCUAAUUUACUAAUUUUGGACAAUCUCAUUGAUUUGUGUUCUCUUCAGUCUUCACUCAUGUGAUAUUUGGGGUAGCCAUGUACCUGCAAAAAUUAAAAAUCAUCUUAUCUUUGGCGUCACUAGAAGGGCCACAUGAAUGAGAUAUAAUGAGAUUAAAUAAAAACUCAACUUAUGAUAAUGAUAGAUUGAUUAUUUUGGGCCUAAAACAGUAUACUGAUAAUAUAAUAAAAUGGACAGUAUCAAAAAUGAUGUACAUGGCAAUAUCUAUUUCUUGCAAGAAUUAGUAUCACAAAUUUUUAUUUCCAAUUUAAGAUAUAUUGAUGUCAUGUGGUCCUUGAUUUUUUAAGCCAGCUUCAUGUUAAAAAUUUGUACAUGAAAUAAAUGAUAUUUGGAACAUGAAAGAAGUAAGGUCAGAAGUUGUCCGCAAAUUAUCUAUCCAUGUUUUAUUUUUUCUUUCCAAAAUUUCAAUUUUAUUUCUUGCACACGGAUGGUAUGUGAAUCUAGUGGUUAAGAUUGAACUAAGUUUUUUCAUCUUUCUGAAAGAUUUGAAACAAUUUGAUGCCUCACCAACGGGAAUUAGGUCACUUUCGAGGGGUGUAGGGUCUGAUUAAAGGCUAAGAUGCGGAAAGUAGAUGGAUGUAAACUAAGAACAUGGGGACGUUAGAAUGCAAAUUAGUUUUUCGAGGGGUGUAGGAUUUGAAUAUAGUUCGAAACUUGAAUCAAAAAUUAAUUCGUUGAAUUUGUUUCAUGAAAAUGAAUUGAACUUAAGUUCAAAAUUAAAUAUGUUAAUUAAUAGACGGUAUGAGUUUGCUUAUGUUUUUGUUGCGACCUCACGAUUAAAAGUUCAUUGAAUGUGGAAAUUGAGAAGCUACUAUUUAUAGCUUUUAAAUAGAUGCACGUCUACAUUAUCCCACCAUCAAACAAACACUCACUAAGUAUAUGUUUGGUUCCAGGAUGACGAAAAUUAAGUUUUUUUUUUGUUACAACGAAAAUUAAAGUUUGAUAUAAUUGAUUUUGAUUAAAAGUGAGCAUAACAAAAUUGAUUUAUGUUCAGAUACAAUAAUGUAAAGUUUGACUUGAAUUAUAUAUAGUUUGACUUGUAAGUGUAGCUCAGUUGACGACUAUCAAGAACAUUAUGUGCAGGGGAUAGAGUUUGAACCCCGAACUCUCCACUGCUCCACACUUGUGUGAAUCUAGCCACUGGAUUACUUGACAAAAAAACUAAGCAUACUUAUAAGAUAACCAAGCAAUUGAGUUCAAAUGGUUAAUGAGUUUCACCACGAACGAAUCGUUCAGAAGAAUCUGAACUCGAAUCUUGGAUAGAACAAUUCUUUAUUAGACUUUACUUAUCUCUCAACUGAACUUUAGAUUAUCAUGAUUCUUUUCCUCUUAAAAUAGGAGAUUAACAACAACAAAAAUGCCUAGAUGUAAUUUGGAAAGUUUUAGGUAUUAUGUCACUACAUUAAUUUUCUUAGGCGAUGUCAUAACAUUAUCCAUUUUGUAAAAUAUUCUACAAUUUUUUUUAACAAAUAACGGUAACUAUUUUAUAUCCUCUACUAAACAAAAUUUACAGAUCCACCACUGGUUGUAAUGUUGUUGCAUUUUGAAUAAUCUCAUCUAAAUAUGUUGGACAAAUUUGCUUAGAAAAUUUAUUUAAAAGAUGAUAUUCAAGUCAACAAUUAUACUUGUAUACCUCAUAUUUUCAAGCAACUAUUCAACAUUUAAUUUUCUCUUUAUUUUUCUCUUUCUAACACAUCGGUCUAUCACAUCACUCUAUUUAUCUUUUUUCUCUUCUCAAGGUGUAUACACAUUUAUGAUAUACACUAAAUAUUUUUCUAUUUAUGUUCUGAGUAAUGUCUGGUUGCGUCCUCUCCAAAUUAGAGAGAGAAUAGACGUGAUCGAUCAAUGAGAGGGUCCUAUAACUUAGCUUCUAUGGGAUCUAUGUUAAACUCAACUUAUUUACAACAGUAUUUUUAAAAACUAAACCAUAUUGCCCGGUCGAACCGGAAACGGAAGGCAUAACUAGUUUGAUAUUCUUAUUAGAUUGUCCGUGCAAGUGAACCGGUCAGAACCAGCGUAACUCAGUAAAAAAACGGUAACUCGUGUUUGACGAACCAGACGAGGUCAAUAAACAAUAUUCUUCAUUCAUAUUAUGACUUCUUUUUCCUUAUAUUCGAGAUCAGAGUAGUAAUAUAUAUUCUUUGCAUAUCUUUUUAUCUUCUUCAAUUUCUCUAUUAACUCCCAAACAUAACCAAGAAUAUGAAUAUAGUGAUAAAAGAGUCCAUCUCAUGAAAAAAUGUCAAACUCUUGAAUUAAACAAGUUAUCUCGCAAGUAAACUCUUUUAUUUCUCUAGUAUCAAUAGUUUACAAAGAAUUUCAAUCUCUCCACAUUUUGUGGUAUCACAAUUAAUGUCUAAUGUCCUUAUUUAUUUCUCUUAAUUAAUCUGUAUUAGUCCUAUAGGAAUUUCUACUUGCUUUUCGUAUACAACAUUGUGGUAAUAAUUAAUGAAAUUUAAUUUCAACCUUUAGUGAAUCCAAGAUCAAAGGGUAUACCAGUGGCAGGCAACCAUACACCACCUUCAAUCCAUUGAGCAGCAGUAUAUUUAGUUGCAUCAGCUUUGCUAAGAACACCCUUUCCCCACUUAACUCUUGCUUGAACAUUUGAACCUGGUCCAGUGUUAGCAUACUCAGCAAAGAAACAUGUAUCAAGGAAUUGAGUCCCUGCCCAAGGAAGAAAUCCAUCUGGUUGAAUUAAAUCACCAAUGGUAUUUUCCAUAAAUAUUGCCCUAGAAUAUGCCUUCCAUGGUCUUGCUAAAAACGAUCGAACCUUCAAUCUAUCAGGUUGUAGUGCUGGCUCUGGCAUGAUUUCACAAUUCUGAAGUACUACUCCUGUUGGCAUGUUCUUUUGGACUGUUCCA
rnacentral:lncRNA from 1 species